rnacentral:tmRNA from 1 species
CCUCUUCUCUUCACUCAUCCCGCGCCCUAUAUUCGAUCCGCUGGCCCUGUGGCCAGAUAUGGCGAUAAACGGUGCUCGGAAUAAGCGUAGUGGACCCGGGGGCAGUACCCGGCGCCUCCACCAUCACCCCAGGCUCGCUUGGGGCUCAUGGGGGCGAAACAGGCUCGACACGCGCGGUAAAGGUACAUCUUUUGCUCGGCAUGAUACCGCCGUUAUCGGGUCAUUUUACAAAUGCCAAUGAUAACCAUGAGGCAUUCGCUAUCGCUGCGUAAGCAGUGACAAGCGCGGUUCGGGGGGCACCGGGCAACAGAAGCCCCCUAUU